GUCCAGGGGCGGGAAUCGAACCCACAACCUUCUGCUUACCGAGCAGGUGCCAUGUCCACUAGGCUACCCUGGA